rnacentral:tRNA from 1 species
GUCGAGGUGGCGGAUGGCGACCGCCGCAGCGUUGCUGUCGCUGUAGCCGCUGGCGUCGUUGGCGGCGGCGCGCUCGGCG